GCUGAGAUAAAGAAGAAAAACGGAGUAAGCGAACUCUACCCCGCUUUCCUGUUUGAAUCUGUAUUAUUUCGGUAGCUUUUGAUUCAUGAAGAUAGGGAUUUGUUAUUUACCUGCAAUUUUUUUUGGUAUGGUCGAUUAUUAUUAUUGGUUCUUUCUAGUAUCUUUUUGUUUUUGGUAAUUAGGUUUCCGAAGUGGGUUCGCGAUUUUGCCAUAUCUAUAUGUGAUAUUUCUAGUUUUUCAUCGCAUUUAGGCAGGGGUUGCUUGGAUUUGUCUUUUUUUUUUUUUGGUUGUUAAGG
rnacentral:misc_RNA from 1 species